UCGUAUCUUCCAUUUUUGAAGAAAUAGCAGCUAGAGUGUCACACAGAAGUCAGCGAGCCUGUUGGUUUGGGGUUUUUUGCUGGUACUAAGAAGUUGAAAGAUGGUACACCGCUUUGUGACAGGGUCUUAUGGAAAGAGGGUCUCAAGUGAGCUCCUGGAAUUUCCCUUUCAGAUCCUCUGUGACUUGGGAGAGAAUACAUUUUUGCAGAUGCCCAGGUCUGUUCAGGAGAAACUGAAGAUGAAACUUAACAAUACAAGAAGCUAAAGAGGAAGAAGGAAAAGGUGCAGCUGAGGUGCAGACACUGGAGAAACAAAAACAUACUGGAGAGUAGAGUCAGAGAGUCUUGACGAAGCAGUGAAGGUUCGCAAGGAAUGAAAUCAAAAGAAAUACCAACUGGCUGUAAAUGCAUCGGAUGAGAAGAAAAGGAAGUUACAAGACUGGUUAUAGCAUAUUGCAGAGAGGGUGGCUUCUCAUCUAGAG